CUAAGUUUGAUGGCGACCGGCGCACGGGUGAGUAACACGUAUCCAACCUGCCGAUGACUCGGGGAUAGCCUUUCGAAAGAAAGAUUAAUACCCGAUGGCAUAGUUCUUCCGCAUGGUAGAACUAUUAAAGAAUUUCGGUCAUCGAUGGGGAUGCGUUCCAUUAGGUUGUUGGCGGGGGUAACGGCCCACCAAGCCUUCGAUGGAUAGGGGUUCUGAGAGGAAGGUCCCCCCACAUUGGAACUGAGACACGGUCCAAACUCCUACGGGAGGCAGCAUG
rnacentral:rRNA from 1 species